rnacentral:rRNA from 1 species
CGAACCGUCCAAACGUUAUUCGGAAUCACUGGGCUUACAGAGUUCGUAGGCGGUCUGGAAAGUUGGGUGUGAAAUCCCUCGGCCUAACCGAGGAACUGCGCUUGAAACUACCAGACUCGAGGGAGAUAGAGGAAAGCGGAACUGAUGGUGGAGCGGUGAAAUGCGUUGAUAUCAUCAGGAACACCGGUGGCGAAGGCGGCUUUCUGGGUCUUACCUGACGCUGAGGAACGAAAGCCAGGGGAGCGAACGGGAUUAGAUACCCCGGUAGUCCUGGCCGUAAACGAUGAGCACUAGGUCGUGGGCCUCCACAGGCCCUCGGCCGUAGCGAACGUGUUAAGUGCUCCGCCUGGGGAGUAUGGUCGCAAGGCUG